rnacentral:rRNA from 1 species
CCUACGGGUGGCAGCAGUGAGGAAUAUUGGUCAAUGGACGUGAGUCUGAACCAGCCAAGUCGCGUGAGGGAUGACUGUCCUAUGGAUUGUAAACCUCUUUUGUCGGGGAGCAAGGCUCGCCACGUGUGGCGGGACUGAGAGUACCCGAAGAAAAAGCAUCGGCUAACUCCGUGCCAGCAGCCGCGGUAAUACGGAGGAUGCGAGCGUUAUCCGGAUUUAUUGGGGUUAAAGGGUGCGUAGGCGGAAGGUUAAGUCAGCGGUCAAAUGUCGGUGCUCAACCCCGGUCUGCCGUUGAAACUGGUGUUCUUGAGUGAGCGAGAAGUAUGCGGAAUGCGUGGUGUAGCGGUGAAAUGCAUAGAUAUCACGCAGAACUCCGAUUGCGAAGGCAGCAUACCGGCGCUCAACUGACGCUGAGGCACGAAAGCGUGGGGAUCGAACAGGAUUAGAUACCCCGGUAGUC